GAUGAACGCUGGCGGCGUGCCUAAUACAUGCAAGUCGAGCGAACAGACGAGGAGCUUGCUCCUCUGAUGUUAGCGGCGGACGGGUGAGUAACACGUGGAUAACCUACCUAUAAGACUGGGAUAACUUCGGGAAACCGGAGCUAAUACCGGAUAAUAUAUUGAACCGCAUGGUUCAAUAGUGAAGGACGGUUUUGCUGUCACUUAUAGAUGGAUCCGCGCCGCAUUAGCUAGUUGGUAAGGUAACGGCUUACCAAGGCAACGAUGCGUAGCCGACCUGAGAGGGUGAUCGGCCACACUGGAACUGAGACACGGUCCAGACUCCUACGGGAGGCAGCAGUAGGGAAUCUUCCGCAAUGGGCGAAAGCCUGACGGAGCAACGCCGCGUGAGUGAUGAAGGUCUUCGGAUCGUAAAACUCUGUUAUUAGGGAAGAACAAAUGUGUAAGUAACUAUGCACGUCUUGACGGUACCUAAUCAGAAAGCCACGGCUAACUACGUG
rnacentral:rRNA from 1 species